UCCUCUACUCUCCCCUGUCCCUUCUUCUGUGGGCCAUAGCAUAGAUGUGGUAGAGACCCAGGUUUGGCAACACUGAAGAGGAAUGGUAUGACAUCAGGGAAUGGUAAUGCAGCAGAAAGGAAGGAACUUGCGUCCUUUAAUGACCUAGAGGAGUCAAUCUACUUCACCACCUGGACCAACGGGACUGUAAUGUGAGAAAUACAUUUCUAUCUAUGUUCCGUUAGCCGAACCUAAGUGGGAAAAAGGAAGAGGAAGAAGAAUGAAAAAAACCAGAAGGCAAGCAGGAGAUAGAAGACUGAACAGGAGCAGGAAGAGGAGAAGAAAGAAGAAUCAGAAAAAAAGUGAAAGAGAAAUAAUUCACUGAAUGGUACAGGUCACGUGUGAAUCGUAUUGGGGAGAAGUACAUACAGUCCCUAAAUUCCACUCUUAUCUACACGGUGGACAUUAAGGUUAUGCCUUAGGCUUGAGUCACAAGAAGAAUUUUGUCUUUAAAACAUCUUCGUGAUUCAUCCAAUGGUUAUAUGUAGCUCACUAAAGUUUUUCUCAUCAAGGUUACCAAUGACCUCCCUUCAGGCAAAAGACAGUAACCUCUUAGUCAUCAAGCCUGACUUGCCAACACUAAACAUCCGUCAAGAUUCUGCUCAUAACCCACUUCUUCCAUAAAAUUUCCCUUGAUCUUUGUUUCUAUUUUCUGAUUUCCUAUUACCCUCUCAGGAGAUGUGGCUUUUAUUCCUGCCCCUCUAAAAAGAGGCCAGGGAGGCUGCUAAGCAUCCUAAAAUGCACAACACGACUUCCUACAACAAAGAAUUAUAUUUUUAUACCCCCUCCAGCACUUUGCACAGGGCUGGUGUGGAAUAGAGUCCUGUGGUGACUGACUACCUAUUAUUCUGUUCAAUAAUACAGAUGGUCUCAUCUCCUUCAUCUUCUACCAAUUUAUCAUAUUGUACAAUAAUGAUUGAUAUCGAGAAUUAUGUCCCUGAGGCAUGCUAGACCUAAAUCAUAAAAAAUAAACUGACAAAAUUCA